rnacentral:rRNA from 1 species
CAGCCGCCGCGGAAUACGUAGGUGGCAAGCGUUGUCCGGAAUUAUUGGGCGUAAAGGGCUCGCAGGCGGUUUCUUAAGUCUGAUGUGAAAGCCCCCGGCUCAACCGGGGAGGGUCAUUGGAAACUGGGAAACUUGAGUGCAGAAGAGGAGAGUGGAAUUCCACGUGUAGCGGUGAAAUGCGUAGAGAUGUGGAGGAACACCAGCGGCGAAGGCGACUCUCUGGUCUGUAACUGACGCUGAGGAGCGAAAGCGUGGGGAGCGAACAGGAUUAGAUACCCCAGUAGUCCCUGUCUCUUAUACA